GCCUUUUUAGUAUAACAGUAUAUUUGGCUUCCAACCAGAAGGUCUAGAAUAACUCUAGAAAAGGCA
rnacentral:tRNA from 1 species